GGUACUAUAGGCAAACCCCAAGAAAGCAACACAGGGAAACCCCAUGUGCUAUAAGUGGCUAUAAAUAUAUAUUUUUUAAUAAGAAUGGCUUUUUCUAACUUUAUUGGGGAACUAUUUCUCAGGCUGGGCUGUAGGAGAAGGAUGAUGUGGUGCUCCUGGUGGACCCCCCAGUGUCCCUGCUUUGUUGGAUGCCUGAAGGAACAGCAGUGACCCUCGCGGCUGGUGGCUCGGGGACCGGUGCUGGUGGCUCUCACCUGGUGAUGGUGAUGGGCAGUGGGGAUGCUGCCCGGGUUUGGGUCCUGUCCUGGCGGAGCUCCCCGCUGCACCUCGCUCCUGUGAGAGCCAGCUGGUGGUUUAGAAGGUGUUUGCCUAAACAGAAGGAUGCCAGAAUUAAGGAGCCGAGCUAUUCUUGGCAUUUGGGUUCCAUUUCCCAUGCCCAUUCCCACGAUACAUCUGGCCAGACCAUCUCAGCCAUCUCUGGUCUAACACAGGUGCCAGAGGCAGGGAUGCAUCUUCCCAGGAAUUUGGCUAGCUCUCUCUUCCAUGACACUCAGAUAUUUUGGAGACAAAAUCCUUACCGGUUGGUAUGGCUGUUGCCCCAUGUUUCUCAGCAUCAGACCCUCGAGGCCUGGCUGGGCUGUGUGUCAUCUUCUCUCAGACAUUUUGGGAGUAUCCCAGGGCCAGGGGCAUCAGGGAAUCAAACCAAAGGGGUUUUCUUAAACCAGGAGCAUGGCAGGCUGGCCUCGCUCCCUGCUUUAUGAAAUCGAACUCUUUAAUAUCUCCCUGCCUAGAACAGGCAAAAAACUUAUUAUAGAAGAUGAUUCUUGAACCACUUUUGGACAGACGGGUUCAUGCAUGAUGCUGCAGGCAUCGUGCCUGCACUGUGGGGCCACAUGGACUGGCCAGGAGUUCGAGUUCAUCACUGGGAUGCCUCAAGAGCUGCGAGCAAUAACACAGCUUAGCAAUAAAAUCCUUAGUUUGCAAUAAACUGAUCCUUUACCUUUUCAUUUAAUAGCAAAAUAUAAGGCAGUGGUAGUUUAAAGGCGGAUUUUCUUUUCUUCUUCCCCGCACCCCCCCCCCCCAGAAGACCCAUCUCAGACUGAUGGUUUUAGCGUCGUCUCCACCGUGCCCCGUGAUUUCCCUCAUCAAUCACUUUGGUAAUAAAUUGAACAAAGUAUGUCUAGUAAAUAUCUCAUUUUCCUUCAGCAGCGAUGGUUUUUCAAGCUGUCUGGAUGAGCCCUGCCUGUCCCCCCCCUCGGCAGGUGGAGGUGCGACGGAGGGGCAAGCCCCGGCGCCCGCCUGCCCGCAACCCCCAUCAGCAGGAUAACAAGCAGCCUCUUAACGAACAGCAACACAUUGCUGUAGUAUUUUGGAUUUCACAGCUUGCUUUCACUCCCAUGAAUAGCAAAUACAACAGCGUGUUUCCCCGCCUGUUACGCCAGCUCUUGGCGCAAGAGGCUGCUCCUCCGAACCUGCCGUCUCGCAGCGGGGCUUCCCCUGCGUGUUUUGCUCCAGAUCUGCAAAAUAAGAUUAAAAUCUCCAGGAGAAGGGUGGUUACCUUGAAUGACAGAAACUUUCAGGCACGGGGGACUUUUGUGAGCACCCUCGUGCUUGGGGUCUCCCCUCCAGCUGUGACAAAUGUCUCCAGCUGCGCUCCUCAUGGGAUCACUGCUGGCUGGCAACAGAAAAGUAAAUGGAAAUGUAAUGGAAAUUCGGAAAUUUGCUGUUCAGGGGCAGACAGUGGCUGCAUCAGCAGGGCCAGACCAGCUCCGCAUCCCCACGCACAGAGCUGCAUCCCUUGGGAUGCUCCGACGGGCCCUCUGGUCCCUGGGUAAAUUUGCUCUGUGUGACCUUGCUCACUACACCGACACAGAGGUACACAGAAAACACUGCUUUAUUGACUGCAUUUGCCAACACACUGAGGAAUGCAAAGGGUUUUUUCAUAAGCAAUGGGCCAUGGUCCCAAUGUGUAUUAAAGCAUACACUGUAUCUAAACAGGAUGAAAAUAAUGGCAGACAGAGCUAUUCCAAGGCAACACAAAUAGCAUGCAUAAUACAGUCUCACACAGAACGAGUUUGAUAACAUUAUAUUGCUUUAAGGAUUAACUAACAUGGAAAAUGUACAAAAAGGAGAAAUAGGUUUUUGCAUUAAUGAAAAAUACAUUUUUUCUCUACAAAGGAAUUUCUAAUACAAGAAAAUAAAUAUUGCAACAUAAGCCAAAAAUAAUUUAAAAUUGCUCUUUUCAAUAUAUUUUCAAUAUUUCUCUUUUAUAUUAACAAAUGGCACAUCACGUUCUUUGAAACAAAGAAAACAGAAGGGUUUCUCCUCCUGCGACAUUCAUAUCGUUUCCUGUAACUGAUGUGAAGUGGGUCUGUUUUGUGUGUGGAAUGGCGCAAACUGUGGGGGGAUUUCCUUAAAGAACAACCAAACCUCACGCCCUGCGGCAGCAUCUUCCCACUGGUGGCCGCUCCCGCAUCCUGCUAUCGCCUCCCAGCUCCCUCCUGCACCCCGCCU